rnacentral:rRNA from 1 species
GAGUUUGAUCAUGGCUCAGAUUGAACGCUGGCGGUAGGCUUAACACAUGCAAGUCGUGCGAGAAAGUAUCUUCGGAUAUGAGUAGAGCGGCGGACGGGUGAGUAACGCGUAGGAAUCUACCUAGUAGAAGGGGAUAGCCCGGGGAAACCCGGAUUAAUACCGUAUACCUCCUUCGGGAGAAAGAAGGCCUCUCUUUGAAGCUUUCGCUACUAGAUGAGCCUGCGUAAGAUUAGCUUGUUGGUGAGGUAAAGGCUCACCAAGGCGACGAUCUUUAGCUGGUCUGAGAGGACGAUCAGCCACAUUGGGACUGAGACACGGCCCAGACUCCUACGGGAGGCAGCAGUGGGGAAUAUUGGACAAUGGGCGCAAGCCUGAUCCAGCCAUACCGCGUGUGUGAAGAAGGCCUUCGGGUUGUAAAGCACUUUAAGCAGGGAGAAAAAGUUAUAAGUUAAUACCUUAUAACCCUGAUGUUACCUGCAGAAUAAGCACCGGCUAAUUCCGUGCCAGCAGCCGCGGUAAUACGGAAGGUGCAAGCGUUAAUCGGAAUUACUGGGCGUAAAGCGCGCGUAGGUGGUUUGUUAAGUUGGAUGUGAAAGCCCUGGGCUCAACCUAGGAACUGCAUCCAAAACUAACUCACUAGAGUACGAUAGAGGGAGGUAGAAUUCAUAGUGUAGCGGUGGAAUGCGUAGAUAUUAUGAAGAAUACCAGUGGCGAAGGCGGCCUCCUGGAUCUGUACUGACACUGAGGUGCGAAAGCAUGGGUAGCGAAGAGGAUUAGAUACCCUCGUAGUCCAUGCCGUAAACGAUGUGUGUUAGACGUUGGAAAUUUAUUUUCAGUGUCGCAGGGAAACCGAUAAACACACCGCCUGGGGAGUACGACCGCAAGGUUAAAACUCAAAUGAAUUGACGGGGACCCGCACAAGUAGUGGAGCAUGUGGUUUAAUUCGAAGAUACGCGCAGAACCUUACCAACACUUGACAUGUUCGUCGCGACUCUAAGAGAUUAGAGUUUUCGGUUCGGCCGGACGAAACACAGGUGCUGCAUGGCUGUCGUCAGCUCGUGUCGUGAGAUGUUGGGUUAAGUCCCGCAACGAGCGCAACCCUCACUUUUAGUUGCCAUCAUUAAGUUGGGCACUCUGAAAGAACUGCCAGUGAUAAGCUGGAGGAAGGUGGGGAUGACGUCAAGUCCUCAUGGCCCUUACGUGUUGGGCUACACACGUGCUACAAUGGUAUCUACAACAGGAAGCAAAACUGCGAAGUUAAGCAAAUCCCUAAAAGAUACCUCAGUUCGGAUUGCACUCUGCAACUCGAGUGCAUGAAGCUGGAAUUACUAGUAAUCGUGGAUCAGCGUGCCACGGUGAAUGCGUUCCCGGGUCUUGUACACACCGCCCGUCACACCAUGGGAGUUGGUUCUACCUUAAGGCAAGGUUUCAAACCCUUGACCACGGUAUAGUCAGCGACUGGGGUGAAGUCGUAACAAGGUAACC